rnacentral:rRNA from 1 species
CCUACGGGGGGCAGCAGUCGGGAAUUUUGGACAAUGGGCGAAAGCCUGAUCCAGCGACGCCGCGUGCAGGAUGAAGUCCUUCGGGAUGUAAACUGCUGUCGGGCGGAACGAAUGACCCCGAUUCUAAUACAAUCGGGGAGUGACGGUACCGCCGAAGGAAGCACCGGCUAACUCUGUGCCAGCAGCCGCGGUAAGACAGAGGGUGCAAGCGUUGUUCGGAUUGACUGGGCGUAAAGGGCGUGUAGGUGGUUAAGUAAGUCCGUUGUGAAAACAUCAUCGCUUAACGGGAUGUCCGCAUCGGAAACUGCUUUACUUGAGUAUAGGAGAGGAGAACGGAAUUCCGGGUGUAGCGGUGGAAUGUGUAGAUAUCAGGAGGAACACCGGUGGCGAAGGCGGUUCUCUGGCCUAAUACUGACACGGAGGCGCGAAAGCGAGGGGAGCAAACGGGAUUAGAUCCCCGGGUAGU